AGCGAACGCUGGCGGCAGGCCUAACACAUGCAAGUCGAACGAACUCUUCGGAGUUAGUGGCGGACGGGUGAGUAAAACGUGGGAACGUGCCUUUAGGCUCGGAAUAACUCAGGGAAACUUGUGCUAAUACCGAAUGUGCCCUUCGGGGGAAAGAUUUAUCGCCUUUAGAGCGGCCCGCGUCUGAUUAGCUAGUUGGUGAGGUAAAGGCCGACCAAGGCGACGAUCAGUAGCUGGUCUGAGAGGAUGAUCAGCCACAUUGGGACUGAGACACGGCCCAAACUCCUACGGGAGGCAGCAGUGGGGAAUCUUGCGCAAUGGGCGAAAGCCUGACGCAGCCAUGCCGCGUGAAUGAUGAAGGUCUUAGGAUUGUAAAAUUCUUUCACCGGGGACGAUAAUGACGGUACCCGGAGAAGAAGCCCCGGCUAACUUCGUG
rnacentral:rRNA from 1 species